rnacentral:rRNA from 1 species
GAUCAUGGCUCAGGAUGAACGCUGGCGGCGUGCUUAACACAUGCAAGUCGAACGGAGUUUUAACGGAAGUUUCGGAUGGAAGUUAGAAACUAGUGGCGGACGGGUGAGUAACGCGUGGGUAACCUGCCUCAUACAGGGGGAUAACAGUUAGAAAUGACUGCUAACACCGCAUAAUAUAGCGAAACCGCAUGAUUUUGCUAUCAAAUAUUUAUAGGUAUGAGAUGGGCCCGCGUCUGAUUAGCUAGUUGGUGGGGUAAAGGCCUACCAAGGCGACGAUCAGUAGCCGGCUUGAGAGAGUGACCGGCCACAUUGGGACUGAGACACGGCCCAAACUCCUACGGGAGGCAGCAGUGGGGAAUAUUGGACAAUGGGGGAAACCCUGAUCCAGCGAACCGCCGCGUGAGUGAAGAAGUAUUUCGGUAUGUAAAGCUCUAUCAGCAGGGAAGAUAAUGACAGUACCUGACUAAGAAGCCCCGGCUAACUACGUGCCAGCAGCCGC